AUGGAAACACCUUUACCACAUUCCCCCAAUCUUACUGUAAUUCUCACACUACUACAGAGUUAUUGUGUGAAUUUUACUUGUGGGAGCAGCAGGGUUUUUGUACGGCUGCUAAACCUGUUUGUAUCACUGUGGUACACUUUUGGUGGAGGAACCAAACUGUCUGUGGGCCGUGUCACUCAGCCCAGUGUGACGGUGUUGCCCCCCUCCAGUGUGGAGCUGCAGCAGGAGAAGGUCACACUCAUGUGUGUGGCCGACAAGGGCUUCCCCUCGGACUGGACACUGAGCUGGAAGGUUGAUGGGAGCAGCUGGAGCUCGGGGGAGAGCCGCAGCACCGCCGUUCUGCACGCGGACGGCCUCUACAGCUGGAGCAGCACGCUGAGCCUCCACCCGGAGCAGUGGAGGAACAAGGUGGUGACCUGUGAGGCCUCCAAAGACAACCAACCUACUGUGGUGGGCAGAGUGAACACAGAGCAGUGCUCAGAGCUAUGA